AUGACAUCACAGCAUCUGUUUAAUAUACAUUUUCAAAAAUUGGAACCGAAGUGACCCAUUGCAGAUGUGAGCAUUGAGCACUUGGGUUUGAACCUCUUUUGCCCCAUGGCCGUGUUUUAGGAGUAUGAGCAAGACUGGGAGGAUUGCAGCAACCUGAAGUUUGAUUACAACGAGAUCAAGAAAACUCUGACACACAAUGAGGAGUUACAGAAGGUCUCCCUGCCUGAAGCUAAGGAGAAACAUCAGAAGGCUUUGGAGACCAUUGCUCAGCUGGAGACUGAAAAGGCCAACCUGAUGAACCAGGUGGAGACACUGCGAGACACAGUGCAGGACAUGGUCAACCUGAUAUAUGAGACUCAGAAGAAGCGUAACGAGAAACAUGGGAUACCUCUUGGAUCCAAAGCGACAACAAGUGUUGUGACAGGAAACGGUGCGAGCAGAAUUGGAUCCACAUCAGAAUCGUCGCCAAUGUGAGGAGUGUAUGAGAGGUGAAAAUAACAAGAAUUAAUGUGAAGCAAAAAGUCGAGCUGAUCUUAAUUUUAAAAAGCCAAUUGAUUUUUCAAAUUCAAAGAAAUUUAAUUAAAACAGUGGACAUUUCAUCAGUUAUCACCACGUGUCCUUUAGCAUUUUCUCCAAAAGGGGGGUCCAUAUGGGAGCAGUGCCCCAGCGGAUGGAGUUAGUCACCACAGAUGCCUCCCGCACUGACUGGAGAGCGGUGUGGUGACUCAUAGGCACAGGGGGCAAGUGAGACUUCAGUGUAAGGAUCUGAGACCGGUCUACCUACCUCAAAUACUCUCAAAUCCAUCUUAUACAUUCCGGGCUUUUUGGACAAGAGGAAUCCGCCUGGGAUGAGUGCCCCAGUGAAGGGAGUUAUCCACCACAGAUGCCUCUCUCACUCUACAAGUAGGCCAGACAACCGGCCCAUGCAGUGACAGGGCUGGUUAUCCAGGCGUUAAACACUGCCCACUGGCUUUUCUGUCACUUGGACCGAGUGCCAACCCAGUGGAAACUCUGCAUUCUGGAUUUUUUUAAUCAAAUAAUCUUUUAAACCCUCAAAUUUAUUGAAUGUACUUGGUUCCCUGAGAUUUUUUUCAGCUUGCUUUUAACUUCACAUGCAUUUUUCACCUCUCAUACCUCAAAAACUACAAAGAAAAUAUAAAACAAGAAAUAAAC